GGCUCAGUGGCGGGGGGCUCCGCCUCACUGAGGGCUCCUCAGGCGCUCGGACUGGGGUGUUGGCGGUGCGGGCAGCCGGGUCAUCUGCACCGCGACUGUCCGAUCAUGGAAGUGGGGCAGCUGGUCCGGGUGGUCGGACCGCCCACUUCCGCUCCCGAUCCAGAGGGAGCGUACUGCAUCCCGACCGAUGCCUCGGACAGAGGGCUGGAGGCCGUUUUGACCCAGCAGGUGGAGGGAGUCGAUUGCCCGGUGCUGUACAUCAGCCGGAAAUUAUCACAGCGGGAGGCGAGGUACAGCACAAUUGAAAAGGAGUGCGUCAGUCACCCAUUCACCCUCUGUUCGGACCACGCUCCCCUCCAGUGGCUCCACCGCAUGAAGGAUGCCAACGCGCGAAUCACCCGUUGGUAUCUGGCUCUGCAGCCCUUUAAUUUCAAGGUGGUUCAUAGGCCGGGAGCGCAGAUGGUGGUGGCGGACUUCUUUUCUCGCCCCGAAAGGGGGGGGGGAGGGGGGUCGAUCAUCGGCCGGAUGGCUCCCCGGCCUAAGUCGGGCGGUGGGGGUAUGUGGUGGGGGGGGCGUGGUUUGUGCGUUGGCUGCAGAGAGAGAGUGGGCGGGGCGGCUCUCAGACUCUGCGCCACAGCUGAGGUUGCUAAUCAGCACCGCUCUUUAAAUGUUUCAUUGUUUAACGAUGUGCUGAUUACCUUGGCAGUGAGCCUGGGUGUUUUAAAAGGCGUUCGCCGAGGCUGGUGACGGAGGAAGUACGGCAGUACGGCGAUUGUAUUGUAAAAACCCCAUGUAACCGGGUGAAUGAAAAGCCGUGUGCUCGGCUACAAAUAAAAAAGAAGUGAUUACUUCGAACUCGUCUCUCUCUCUACACGCGAGCGGUGGCACUCACCUUGCCACAGUACAACGGUUAGUUGGAGUUUGGGUUGCUUACAGCAGUAGCUUAGGUGGUUGAAUUUCAUUAUUGGAGGCGACAGUGAUAACGUUGUCGUAAAUAUUGUUUCCCCCAGUAUUACCCCAUAACGUGGCAGUUUUUCUUUGGAAUCCUGUAGAGUAGUAAUCCUUCCUCGACUCAGUGCACACACUGACGCCGCGAACAAAUAGGGUUCCGUUUCUUAAAUUAUUUGUACAUGUCCGGUUUGUGGUCCCGACCAGACAAUUGAAUGAGUAAUUGAUCUAAUAAAUUUGUAGUUUGUAAUGAAUUUGCUUGUCUGCGACUCCCUGAUCUGACAUCGGUUUCAAGGGGGUUUCCCGGAGUUGUUGGCGGUUUCCAGGGGAUUCCUCUUGGCUAACGUGGAUGACAGACAACAGGAGCGGAGUUAACACCAUCCUACAGCCAUCCUGCUUGUCUCUUAGGAGUGAUGAUUCAUAUCGGCGUGUAAGCACACACACAUUACAGCGUUCCUGCUCUGAACAUGGACUCAGGCUGGUUGAUCUGAAUGUACAGAGUAAACAGGCACAUGCUGACUUGUGCAUCACAUCUCAUGUACAAAAUCUAUGCUCAAAUGGUUUUAAGGCCACGUCUGAAGGGUUUAUCUAUGCUUCCUGUACUUUCGGGGGCACUCGGUGCUGUGUGGUCUUCACUCAUAAACCGGUUGGAUUUUAUUCAUAUUUUAAUAAUCUGACUUUUUAUCCUACGAGCAGGCAUAUCAUAAGCUCCCCAGAAACCUGAUGCUAAAGGCAUUGUUCAGUUCUGUUGUGCAGAGUGACCGCACAUGACCAUUGUAACACCCACAAUUAUAAUAUGGAGCUUAUUUUCAUAUACACAAUUUCUAGAUGAUCUUAUUCAGAUUCCUUCUCACAUAUAGCAAGUCAUCUAGCAGACUUGCAAAGUGAGACACGCUGAUCAUGGAGGAAAAUCAUGAAACUCCACAACAGAGCCCAUAACAAUGCCUCUACAUGCACAAGAUGUCUUCCAGUGUGGAGAGUAUGUAUAAUGUUCUUAAAAUGUUUUCAGAAAUCGCAUGGCACUUCCUAAAAUGGCCUUAACUUGAUGCACUUAAAACUAGUUUUUCCUAUACAUAUAAAGGUUAUAGAUAAAUACUUAUGUGACCUUUGUGACAGAAAUUACUUGCACAUGGAAAAUACAGUGGAUUUCAUAUAAGCCAUCUCUACUGAACUUGACUUGACUUUAUUGUCCCUGUAGAGAAAUGUGGUUUGCAGCACUGUGUUAUGUUAAAGGGCAUCACAGACGCAGACAAUAGAAAGUUAGAAACAUUGCAAAUGUCACAGUAGUAGUAGCACAGGAGUAUACAAUAUGCAGGGAUGCUACACAG